rnacentral:piRNA from 1 species
UCUGGCCCACGUGAAGAGAGCAGUGUGAC